rnacentral:tRNA from 1 species
GGCCGGUUAGCUCAGUUGGUUGAGCAUGGCACUAACAACGCCAAGGCUGCGGGUUCAAUUCCCAUGCGGUCCG